UACGGAGGGGCUAGCGUUGUUCGGAAUUACUGGGCGUAAAGCGCACGUAGGCGGCUUUGUAAGUUAGAGGUGAAAGCCCGGAGCUCAACUCCGGAAUUGCCUUUAAGACUGCAUCGCUAGAAUUGUGGAGAGGUAAGUGGAAUUCCGAGUGUAGAGGUGAAAUUCGUAGAUAUUCGGAAGAACACCAGUGGCGAAGGCGACUUACUGGACACAUAUUGACGCUGAGGUGCGAAAGCGUGGGGAGCAAACAGG
rnacentral:rRNA from 1 species